UUGACGCUCUGAAUUCUGCGUCGUCUCUCUGCUCUUCACGACCGACCGACGCAACAGUGUCCCGAAUUCCGGCAACUUCUUCUCUGUCCAGUCGCGGCUUCGUCUUUAGCAUCUUCGAGAGCUCGUAGCGAUGAGCAUCGCGCGGAGAUUCUCUCCGUCGUCGGCGAUCCUGCUUCGUUUGAUCGUCUAUGCGGACGUAGGUUGGGUAAUCUAUGGCUUGAAUUGGAUCGUCUUCUAAACUUCAGUUUUCUUUCUUCCCUCUGGAAAUUCGACUUUUCGGUUUAGAGUUUUCGGGUGGGAACCGAAGCCUGUUUUGAUCUGGGUUCGUGUGUCAGAAUUACGGGUCGAACUUUUCUUGCAAUGGGAGAAUGCAGCGAGCCAUCGUUUGAUGAAUAUCAUAAUGCAGUGCCAAGAAGAACUCCAUCACAGGUGGCCGAGUCGGAGGCAUGGCCUCUGGGUAUUCAUGAAGACGAUCUGGAACACAGAGUUUUACAAAUGAUGGCAGCUACCCUUAUUUGGAGUGGUUGUUUGUCCUGUUGUCUGAGAUAAACCAUGUCUUGGUCAGAAUUAUUUUACAUGGUUUUCUUGCGAUGGCAAUGGAAAUUUAUGGUAAGGUUUGAAACUUCAUGAACCUUUAUGCCAUUUUAAUUCAUAUAAGAUCUGAAGGCAUCAUUUUAGACGAGUGAAUGGGGAACGAAACUAGAGAAGUUAGAAAUGGCUUAGACUGACUUCCCAAAUUCUUUUGACAGUUAAAUAGCAUGAUACAUAAAGUCUAUUAAAUGCAUGACUUCAGACACUGUACGAGGAGACAGGAAUUAUUGAGAGACGGGAAUUAUUGAGCCAAUGCAGAUAAUGAAGCCUGUACCUCACAUGGAAUUCUCAAAUGCUUGAAACGUUUUGAUAUCGAGAUUGAAAGUGUAGAGACAAUGUCCCUGCUGGAGGUGAAGAAUGAAGGAAAGAGUAAUGUCGGAGACAAAUAUGCAUUGGCCUUUUGACAACAUUAAGGAGGUUGAGGGUUGAAAAAGUUCAAUCUAAGCUAUUGGCACCAAAUUCUUUCAUUGAAGAUGAUAGCAUAAGAAUGGUAUCUGAAUGCAAAUGGCAUCAGAGAUUCAUGGAAGAAGCAGAAUAUUUUUGCAAGUAUCCGAGUACUAACAUUCUCUCUAGUGAAAAGGCUGCUAAUAUCUUUGGUUUAUGAUGGAGCCAGAAAUCGCAUGGACUGACAUAAUGCAAUUUCAACAUGGCAAUGAGUGGAAAAAAUUCAGGCACUAUGCAUUAUCUUCCUCUGCACAUGUUUGUCAGUAUGGGUAGUAAAGUUUCCACUCUCCUAAUAUUUGAACUAGUGUUAAUAAUCGCGCAAACCUGAGUUCUCACUUUUUGCAAUGCUUCUCUCUGCAUGCAACUUAAGCGUUUUAUAAUGUCAUGGAUUUUGAAAUGCUGGCCUUGGGUUCUUUUUGACGCAAACACCAUGUUAAUUGAAGGCGAAAAAAUUGAUCGACAAUUUUUUUAUUUUGGAUUUUCUUUGGUGGGGAAAACCAUCUAGAGACGCACUCUUUGCGACUGCUCAGAAAUGCUUACAAGGUGGGCAUGAUAUUUGACUCUGACCAUGAGUUUCUUCUCCAUGUUUUCUUGUCAUUAUGAACCUAGCAAAUUGUGGCUGGAACUUGAGUUGCUAAUCUUUUGCAUUUGCAAGGCAUCUAGGGAUUCCAACAAUAUGACAUGUCUGCAUCUGAUGGCAUGGCACUGCAUAUCUGGACAAGAGCAAGUGAUUUCCAAAAUCGUUUUGAUUUGUCUGUUGAAAGAGGCUUCUUUCAUUAUUGUUCAUCCAAACAAAUACUUGUUUUUCUGCUACAGAGACGUUAUUUUCAGUUUGGGAAUAUGCCUAAUGUUGAAUUACCUUGAAUUAGUACUGAGGCUAUAUGAAUUUUCUUUGCAUUGAGUUUAUGGAGAGAAAAGCUAAUGUUUGACUAGGAGAUGCAGGUCCUUGUCAUCUUUUAAAAUGAUGUGCAGAUUUUGUUGGGUUCUCAAAGCGGAAAAUUCUGGUUUAAGGUACACUCCAAAAUCAUAAUCUUGUCUUUUAUUUUGUCUAACAAGUCAAGUUGGUUGAUUGAUAAGGUUGCCUUAGUAGACCUUUUUAAGUGCGUGAUGGUGAUCUUCCUCCAGAAGACCUGCUGAUAUCAUUCCAAUGUCAGCUAGAGAAGUGGUGUGUAAUGUGUAUCCAAGAGGAGGUGUGUUUGGAUAACCGGAUUAGAUUGGUUGGAAAUCACAAAUUUCAAAUGCUGAUGCUGCUCGAAUCGUAAGGGCCACUGGAGUGGUAAGGUUAGGUUUCUCAUCUAAACCUCGAAACUUAUCCACUUGUCUUUCAUAUUGUCUUGUCUAUACCACUGAUUAAUGCCUGUUAACAACCGGAGAGGCAUUGCUAAGAGCCACAGAACAGUCUGUUUUUUCCAGAAAGGCAAUUGUGUAUUUGCAGUGCAAAAAAUGCCUAAAUAUGUAACUCAAGGUAAGUAUAGUUGGCAUCUCGGAUGCCCAAAGCAGGAUGCUUUUCCUGGUGCUUUUCCAUGGAAAUGCGCUCCUCAGUUAUUGCUAUGAGACUUCUUUUUGGCGUGGAUGUUAUGGAAAUGCAUUUAGGUGGGUUUAAGGGUGCUUAAAUUUGGUCAUCAGAGUCAUGGCAGAAGUCUCCCUAACUCAACAUGGGGAGGAAUUCUUUGGACAUUUCUAGAACUAUAGCUGGAAUAUCCAUUCGGGAUCAAACUUAGAACGCGGAAAAACUGCCAAGAAAUGUAAAAGACGUGUGGUCCCUUUGCAUCCUUAUCUAUGGACCCGUUAAUGGAGGUUUUUGUUGUAUUUCUUUAACUUAUAAAGGCCACACUGCCCAUCCUUGGACUUUUUUCAUUAUUAGCUCCCUCUUGUCCCUCUCUGCCUUA